rnacentral:rRNA from 1 species
UUGAGUGAAGCAAGGGCAUUCGGUGGAUGCCUUGGCGUCAGGAGGCGAUGAAGGACGUGGCACGCUGCGAAAAGCCACGGGGAGCUGCGAGCGAGCGUUGAUCCGUGGAUGUCCGAAUGGGGCAACCCACCCCUUUUGGGGUAUCUCCGUCUGAAUUCAUAGGGCGGGGAGGCGAACCCGGGGAACUGAAACAUCUCAGUACCUGGAGGAGAAGACAUCAACCGAGAUUCCGUGAGUAGUGGCGAGCGAAAGCGGAGGAGGCCAGUGGUUGGACGAGGAGAAGCAGAACGGUCUGGGAAGGCCGGCCGCAGAGGGUGACAGCCCCGUAUGCGUAGGGCCUCGUUCGAUCCUUGAGUAGGGCGGGACACGUGAAAUCCUGUCUGAAGAUGGGGGGACCACCCUCCAAGCCUAAAUACUCCCUGACGACCGAUAGUGGACGAGUACCGUGAGGGAAAGGUGAAAAGCACCCCGACGAGGGGAGUGAAAGAGACCUGAAACCGGAUGCCUACAAACAGUCGGAGCCUUCCUUGGGGUUUUCCCCGAGGUGGGGUGACGGCGUACCUUUUGUAUAAUGGGUCAGCGAGUUUCCGUUGGCAGCGAGCUUAAGCCGUGAGGUGGAGGCGUAGCGAAAGCGAGUCUGAAGAGGGCGCUGAGUUGCCGGCGGAAGACCCGAAACCGGGUGAUCUAGCCAUGGCCAGGCUGAAGGUGGGGUAACACCCACUGGAGGGCCGAACCCACGCCUGUUGAAAAAGGCGGGGAUGAGCUGUGGCUAGGGGUGAAAGGCCAAUCAAACUCGGAAAUAGCUGGUUCUCCGCGAAAUCUAUUGAGGUAGAGCGUCGCGUGCUGAGCCUCGGGGGUAGAGCACUGGAUGGGCUAGGGGGCCUCACCGGCUUACCAAACCUAACCAAACUCCGAAUACCGAGGUAUCGAGCGCGGCAGACAGUCCAUGGGUGCUAAGGUCCAUGGACGAGAGGGAAACAGCCCAGACCGCCAGCUAAGGUCCCCAAAUCGUGGCUAAGUGGGAAAGGAUGUGGGAAUUCCAAAACAACCAGGAGGUUGGCUUAGAAGCAGCCAUCCUUUAAAGAAAGCGUAAUAGCUCACUGGUCUAACAGAAAUCCUGCGCCGAAGAUGUAACGGGGCUCAAGCCACGUACCGAAGCUGCGGGUGUGCGAUGCUCUCGAGCAUCGCGCGCGGUAGCGGAGCGUUCCGUAGGCCGAUGAAGGGAGCGGGGUGACCCCUCCUCGAGGUAUCGGAAGUGCGAAUGCUGACAUGAGUAGCGACAAACAGGGUGAGAAACCCUGUCGCCGAAAGUCCAAGGGUUCCUGCGCCAGGUUAAUCCGCGCAGGGUGAGCCGGUCCCUAAGGCGAGGGCGAAAGCCGUAGUCGAUGGGAAGGGGGUUAAUACUCCCCCGCCUGCUGGACGUGACGAACGGGACCGCCUGUCCGGGCUUAACGGAUUGUCCGGGCACGCCGAACGUUCCAGGAAACAGCGCCAGCACCAAGACCGUACCCGAAACCGACACAGGUGGACUGGUAGAGUAUACCCAGGCGCUUGAGAGAACGAUGCCGAAGGAACUAGGCAAAUUGCCCGCGUAACUUCGGGAGAAGCGGGACCUCUCUUUGGGCAACCAGAGAGGGGUGGCACAGAGCAGGGGGUAGCGACUGUUUACUAAAAACACAGGGCUCUGCGAAGUCGAAAGACGACGUAUAGGGUCUGACGCCUGCCCGGUGCCGGAAGGUUAAGGGGAGGGGUGCAAGCUCCGAACCGAAGCCCCGGUAAACGGCGGCCGUAACUAUAACGGUCCUAAGGUAGCGAAAUUCCUUGUCGGGUAAGUUCCGACCU